rnacentral:rRNA from 1 species
CUUAAUUCUUUUAAGAGUGACGGGCGAUAUGUGCAUGUUAAAUUUCUUUUUCAAUGCAAAAUUCUGAUUUUUUUUUACUUUUAAGUCCUUUUUAUUUUUAUAUUUUUUUUCUCUCCCAUUUUUUAAUUAUUGUAUUCCACCCUUUCUAAAUCGUAAUCCUUGUCUUGAUUUGUUUUUCGAUUUUUUGAUUUCUAAAAACUAUUGUUAAUUCUGUUUUUUAAAACAAUGAUAUGAGUGAUUAAAAGUUUAGUACACUUUAACGUGGGUCGUCGCUUAUAAUGCAGAAUCCCCUAAAUUGGUUUUACACCGCCAUUUCAAUUAGAUUUUUCUUUAUUUAGAUACUUUCUGUUUUUAUUUUAAAA